AUACCAAAAAUGUAGUAGUUGCAAAAACUAUAAGUUUUUUUGGAAACUCGAUAAUAUGUAUAUAUAUUUCUCUUCCUCUCGUCGAUCCGUUCCCGAUCUCGUGCUCUUUUUCAUGAGAUCAUCGAACUGCUUCUUCUCGCGAACGGCAUGCUGCUCGCGUCAUCGACAUAAUCCUUGUCUAUCCCCGUCUACCCCUUCGCCUUCCACCCGUCAUCUCGGAUCCGCGAGCCAGCUCUAACCAUUUUCGUCUAAUUUUAUCUAACCCUUUCUACCAUCCGUCUGACUCAGCCUCCGUCGUACACUGUAUCGCGCAACUCGUCGCGUGACCAUCUUUUUUCGCUCGGCCAUGACGCGGCAUGCGACAAAUUUUACAACCGUCUUCCACAUCCUCUCUCUUCUAUAAAUACAUCCCUAGCCGUCAGAAAGCUCCUCGUCUCACCCCAGAUCCAUGAAGGGCAGCGGUUACCAGAUUGCGAUCCGUUUCUGAGCUUUGAGGGAUCAAAGAUCAAGAGUUGGCGACCAAGUGAUCUGGUUCUUCGAGUUCUACGAGAUUCAAGACCCUGAGCAUCUGUUUGGUGAAGACAAGUGUCCUCUGACCCAUUAUGUCUCAUUUACUUUAUAAUACACUGUCCCGCAUACUAUGAACAACCUAAGGAUUUACUAGCUUUCUAUUUACCUUGUCCUUGAUUUACCUUUUGGGUUAGUAUGGUUAGCUACAUGCUAGCGCUUUACUUUAAUCAAUGAACAUGAUGAGAUACAAUGAUGAUACUAUGAUUUUAUUCUGGAUAUGAUGAUAUACUUGUGGCAUUUAAGGGGACUAAGGCUGUUUCCCGAGUACCUCUCCGUAAGGACCUGUUCGUUGAGAGACCACCUGGGAUAACAGUGCAAUCAUGAGGGUGAAAUGGGAUGCCCUUAGCUAAUUAAUUAGAGGAACUAGAGGUGUAGUUGCUUCGCCGUCGUGCCGUCAAUGGGGUCCAGGCACAGUGCUUGCUCUACCGAGGCUGAGUGCCGAGGUUCUUUCGUUUUGCUUUUGUUAGUCACCCUCCUGCGGGGAGAGGUACUGUGUUUAUCAAACUGGAGAAACCUAACGGGCGGCUAUGACCUCUAGUGAAUCUUUGUAAAAGCUACGUAGUGAUACCCUGCCGGACCACCUAGGAAGUGAUCAAUGGGGAGUCAUGAUCCCCGGGCAAAACGGGAAUCACGGCUCAUGGGUAAAGUGUGCGACCUCUGCAGAGGAUUAGAAACUGAUAUAUCAGUCGUGCUCACGGUUAUGAGCGGCCUUGGGAUCCUCUUUGAUUAGAGAUACAUAUGAUCGAGAUACAAUGGUUCUAUUUAUGGUUUUGGUCCGAUGAUGAUAAUGAUGCUUCCUCGAUGAGGAAAUGGUUCACGGGUUGGUUAUGUGAUAAAACUUGGCUUCCACUAAUAAUAAACACCUGGCCAACUAAAAGCAACUGCUUGAGCUUAACUCCACAUAAAGCUAGUCCACCUCAGCCAAACAGGACAUUUGCUGAGUACGUUGAUGUGUACUCACCCUUGCUUUCACAAAACACCAGGAUGCCUUUGGUGCAAUCUAUGCACAGGUAAAGAAGAAGGCGUCGAGGCGGUUCUCCAGGAGUUCCAGGACUUCGACGAGUUCGAGGAUUAGGCUAGCGACCUCCCCCAGUCAGCUGCCUGUGGUGGGUUUAUUUACAUUGGCUACGUUUCGAUUCUGUGUACUUUGAUUCAUAUUAUGUAAAUGACUCUAGUCUUUAAUAUCAUUAUUUAUUCUUUAUUGUUAUUCGAAGCAUUGUGCUAUGAUGAGUCAUUUAUGUAAUCGCUGUGUACGUGAAUUUCUGAUCCUGGCACGUACAUGGUUCGCAUUCGGUUUACCUUCCAAAACCGGGUGUGACAUAAGUGGUAUCAAAGCCAGGCUGACUAUAGGACCGCUGACCUAGAGUAACAUUGACCGUUUUAAGGACUUAUUGACUUUUACUUCACCCCAUCCUUGAUGCUGCUUCAAAAUAUUAGUCACCUCGACUAAUUCUAUGUUAUGCUUCUAUAUAUCACCUUGCCAAAUGUAUUUUGUUCUAAUAUUGUCUAUGCUUCACCUAUUCAUUCUAUUAGAUCUGAUCUCACUCUUGUGCUUGCGACAUCUUUGUAGAUGCCCCCUGAUCAUAACCUUCUUGUCUUUUGGGAUUCUUUUUGUCUUCCAUUAUUAAAUUGCUACCAUUUGACCAUAUCUAUUCCAUUGGUAUUGACUUGCUGCAUCUUUUGGAUUCUUCCAUACCCUUAUCCCUUAAUUCAAAUACUUAACCCUGAAAACUCUGUUGCCCAUAUAAACAUUCUAGUUUAUAUUUUCAUGCCCUUCCUGUCUUUUGAGAUCCCUUUCUAUUCUGUUGUUAAGUCAUUAUCUUUCGAUAAUUUCUAUGCCCUUGGUCUUAGUAUGCUCGUAUCCUUGGAGUCUUACAUACUCUUAUAUUCUUAUGUAUGCUUAUUUUCAUACCCCAAUAACUGUUCAAGACAUUUCAGUUAACAUGUCCUUGACCACCCCUGUUUCUUAACGGUCCAUGAGCGAUCAUUUUAUGUUGCCCAUCCUUGGUGAUCUCAUUGUUCCUUUAUAACUUCUCUCGAUAAUGAAUUCUUACUUCAACCAUUCUAUUGCACCCUCACCUAUCUUACCUUGAUUAUUUUGUCCACUUCGCCAUUUCGCGAGUCUUGCCUUAACUCUAUCCUUUGUUAUGCCUUUCAUUAUUAUCACAUUCAUCUUUGACACCUCUAUACCUUACCUUGAUGCCUAUCUUAUACCUGCGCUCCAAAACCUUCUCUCUUUCGUCACAAUUUUAAACAUUGAAGGUUACCUAUUUUCCCUCAGUUUGUAUCCUAUUCCUUGUCGCUUGCGAGUUUUUAACUCCAUCCUUUGUUAUCUGUUACUACCUUUACCUUCGCCGUCUCUCCAUCUUACCUUGAUGACUAUCUUAUGUCUGUUAUUUAAAGUUCCCUCUCUCAUCUCAAUUCGAGGGAAGUGUUUUACUUAUCCUGCCCUUGGUCGGAACCUCGUCUUCGCUAGGUGUGAGUCUUAUCUUAACUCCAUUCUUUGUUGUACUCAUACCACUGGCUCUUUUAUGCCUUCAUCUUUUCUCAUAUACCCUUGUCUGUUAUCGCCUUUGACCCUUGCGAUAUCUAUGUCUUCUACCUAAAUGCUUACCUCGAGCUUAUCUUUUAAAAGCCUCCCCUUUCCUUCAGCCCAGUUUGAGAGUUGUGGGUUACCUAUCUCUCCCUUGAUUUCUUUUCACUUCUUGUCGCCUUACGAGUUUUGCCUUAAUUCCAUCCUUUGCUAUGUGUUUUAUUUGCUAUCACCAUCUCCUUGUCAUCCAUCGAUCUUGCCUUGAUACUCAUCUUUAUGCUGGCUCUUUAAAAUCUCCUCUCUUCCACCUCAAUUGGAGAGUGGCAAUUUACCUAUCUGGCCCCUGGACGUACCCUCUCCUUUUCCAUUCGCAUGUCUUGUCUUAACUCCAUCCUUUGUGGUAUUUAUAUUCUUGGUUCUUAUGCACAUUUACCUCCUCUCCUACAUCCUUGCCCGUUAUCACCUUUAAACCCUCGUGGUACCUAUGCCCUUGCCCACAUGCUUAUCUUGAACCUACCCUUUAAAGCCACCUCUUUUUCAUCGCUGUCGGAGGAUAAUACCUCACCCACUUCACCAUUGAUUGCUUUCCCUUCUUUGAUGCCUCACAGGUUUUUUUUCUAUAUACAUCAUUUGUUGUGUGUUUGUCCGUUAUCACCUUAACCCAUGUCAUCCUUCGAUCAUUACUUUGAUGCUUGUCAUGUACCUGCAUUUUAAAGCCGCCUCCCCCAUUUCAUUUCAAGAGUGUUGUCAUACCCCUCCCCGCUCUUGUUCGUUCCCUAUUCCUAUGUCGCGUUGCAAGUCUUAGCUUUUGUUUGAUGUCGCCCUUACCUUCCUAAUAUCUAGAUCUUUCCAUGAUGCUUCUCCUAUGCCUACCUUUUGAAACAUCACCUUUCCCAUCUCGAUUUGAGAAUGGUGUUUACCUACCCUGCCCUUGGUUGCAUUUUCUCCCUUGUAACUAUGAUCCUUGCUUUAGCUCCAUCCUUUAUUAUGCUCAUGCCCCUCCAUGUCUUAUUAUUCCCCUUGCCUUUUAUUGGCCUUAGAGUAGUUUCCCUUUUUAAGGAAAGACCACCAUUUAAUUAAAAGUUACGUAUAGCAAUGAGAUGUUUGUUGUUGUAUGCUUGUGCUGUUUGUCUUUGUGUUAUGACUGAUUUGCUUCUUUGUGAUGAGUGUUGGUGUGUUGUGGCCCUGGGUCCGCAAUGACAUCAGUUUACCAGGUAAGUGCCAUAUAGUUAAUUAGUUGGGUUCUCCCCCUACUCUCUCUAAUCCGUCUAUACUUACCUUUUCUCGCUACCCUUUCCUCUUGCACCUGUCCGGUCGGCAUCCUCCAACUCCUUCAAAUCAGUCAAGAUCAGAGUCGGUAGCAUCUUCAUCAAGUGUGUAUCAACGCUCCUGUUAAGGGGGUUAGCCGCUAACCCCAAUGAAGACAAUGUGAUCCACGUCAACCAACAAGAUCAGAGUGGCGCAACGAAAGCGUGUGUGGGUCCAACCCACAGGUCAAAGAGAUCUUCAUGAAUUGCAUCAAUCGGUCUCAAGCACCUGAAGGUCAAAGCAACCAGUCCGCAAGUUAAAGCUGACAGAGUCAAAGCUGGGUUAGAAGAAGCUAUGAAACACUAAUAAACCAAUCUCAUUUUCUUGCUAGCCUCUUCUUGAAUCUCGAGGACGAGAUUCUGUUAAGGGGGUUUGAUCUGUAACACCCUGAUUUUAGGGGUAUAAAAUUUCUUUUUAAAUAUCCACCAAAUUCAGGUGUUACUCUCUCAGCUCUUCGCUCUUCUUCUCUUUUUCCUAAAAGUGGAGAAUUAUUUUGUUUUAUAUAGGCAUUAACUUAGUGAAAUAAAAGCCUAGCUAGAGAAGCUUUGAUUGUUGUAUUCAUGUCGUUGCAUAUUGUUUAUGGGUGUAAAAGGUUUUUGAAACAUAAAAAGAUUAUCUCGACAGUGUUUUUAGGGAUUGCUGGGACUUUCGAAAUGUUUCUCCGAGUAUUAAAAUAUGAAUUUUUAGUCUUUCUAAUAUUAAUUAAAUACCAAAAAUGUAGUAGUUGCAAAAACUAUAAGUUUUUUUGGAAACUCGAUAAUAUGUAUAUAUAUUUCUCUUCCUCUCGUCGAUCCGUUCCCGAUCUCGUGCUCUUUUUCAUGAGAUCAUCGAACUGCUUCUUCUCGCGAACGGCAUGCUGCUCGCGUCAUCGACAUAAUCCUUGUCUAUCCCCGUCUACCCCUUCGCCUUCCACCCGUCAUCUCGGAUCCGCGAGCCAGCUCUAACCAUUUUCGUCUAAUUUUAUCUAACCCUUUCUACCAUCCGUCUGACUCAGCCUCCGUCGUACACUGUAUCGCGCAACUCGUCGCGUGACCAUCUUUUUUCGCUCGGCCAUGACGCGGCAUGCGACAAAUUUUACAACCGUCUUCCACAUCCUCUCUCUUCUAUAAAUACAUCCCUAGCCGUCAGAAAGCUCCUCGUCUCACCCCAGAUCCAUGAAGGGCAGCGGUUACCAGAUUGCGAUCCGUUUCCGAGCUUUGAGGGAUCAAAGAUCAAGAGUUGGCGACCAAGUGAUCCGGUUCUUCGAGUUCUACGAGAUUGAAGACCCAAAGCAUCUGUUUGGUGAAGGCAAGUGUCCUCUGACCCAUUAUGUCUCAUUUACUUUAUAAUACACUGUCCCGCAUACUAUGAACAA